GGGUCAGUAGGUUGGUCGUGCCACCGGUACGUACUGGUCUCACUGAUUCCUCCUUCCUGAAGAACCGUAAUGCCAUUAAUUUGGUGUUGCGGGGAAACAGGACUGUUACUUUGAAAAAAUUAGAGUGUUUAAAGCAAGCUAACGCUUGAAUACAUUAGCAUGGAAUAAUGAAAUAGGACGAUCGAUCCUAUUUUGUUGGUUUCUAGGAUUGACGUAAUGAUUAAUAGGGGUUGGG
rnacentral:rRNA from 1 species